rnacentral:misc_RNA from 1 species
GAUGAAGAACGUAGCGAAAUGCGAUAAGUAAUGUGAAUUGCAGAAUUCAGUGAAUCAUCGAAUCUUUGAACGCACAUUGCGCCCGCCAGUAUUCUGGCGGGCAUGCCUGUUCGAGCGUCAUUACAACCCUCAGGCCCCCGGGCCUGGCGUUGGGGAUCGGCAGAAGCCCCCUGUGGGCACACGCCGUCCCUCAAAUACAGUGGCGGUCCCGCCGCAGCUUCCAUUGCGUAGUAGCUAACACCUCGCAACUGGAGAGCGGCGUGGCCAUGCCGUAAAACACCCAACUUCUGAAUGUUGACCUCGAAUCAGGUAGGAAUACCCGCUGAACUUAAGCAUAUCAAUAAGCGGAGGA